rnacentral:pre_miRNA from 1 species
AAUAAGAUUAUUUUUUGGUUUUUAGAUAUAAUACUUUUGACUCUUCGUCUUAUUUGAAAUUUUUUGUGAUUAAUAUGUUUAUUGUUACCGGAUGAUAAAACAUGAAUAGUACUUUAUGCGUGACUAAUUAUUUUAAGUUUUUGUGCAAAUUUUCUGAAUAAAACAAAUGGACAAAAUUUGGAUACAGAAAUCAAAAAAUAAAAUUAUU